GAUAACCUACCUAUAAGACUGGGAUAACUUCGGGAAACCGGAGCUAAUACCGGAUAAUAUUUUGAACCGCAUGGUUCAAAAGUGAAAGACGGUCUUGCUGUCACUUAUAGAUGGAUCCGCGUUGCAUUAGCUAGUUGGUAAGGUAACGGCUUACCAAGGCAACGAUGCAUAGCCGACCUGAGAGGGUGAUCGGCCACACUGGAACUGAGACACGGUCCAGACUCCUACGGGAGGCAGCAGUAGGGAAUCUUCCGCAAUGGGCGAAAGCCUGACGGAGCAACGCCGCGUGAGUGAUGAAGGUCUUCGGAUCGUAAAACUCUGUUAUUAGGGAAGAACAUAUGUGUAAGUAACUGUGCACAUCUUGACGGUACCUAAUCAGAAAGCCACGGCUAACUACGUGCCAGCAGCCGCGGUAAUACGUAGGUGGCAAGCGUUAUCCGGAAUUAUUGGGCGUAAAGCGCGCGUAGGCGGUUUUUUAAGUCUGAUGUGAAAGCCCACGGCUCAACCGUGGAGGGUCAUUGGAAACUGGAAAACUUGAGUGCAGAAGAGGAAAGUGGAAUUCCAUGUGUAGCGGUGAAAUGCGCAGAGAUAUGGAGGAACACCAGUGGCGAAGGCGACUUUCUGGUCUGUAACUGACGCUGAUGUGCGAAAGCGUGGGGAUCAAACAGGAUUAGAUACCCUGGUAGUCCACGCCGUAAACGAUGAGUGCUAAGUGUUAGGGGGUUUCCGCCCCUUAGUGCUGCAGCUAACGCAUUAAGCACUC
rnacentral:rRNA from 1 species